rnacentral:rRNA from 1 species
CGGAGGGUGCAAGCGUUAUCCGGAUUCACUGGGUUUAAAGGGUGCGUAGGUGGGCAAGUAAGUCAGUGGUGAAAUCUCCGGGCUUAACCCGGAAACUGCCAUCGAUACUAUUUGUCUUGAAUACUGUGGAGGUCAGCGGAAUAUGUCAUGUAGCGGUGAAAUGCUUAGAUAUGACAUAGAACACCAAUUGCGAAGGCAGCUGGCUACACAAAUAUUGACACUGAGGCACGAAAGCGUGGGGAUCAAACAGGAUUAGAUACCCUGGUAGUCCACGCCCUAAACUAUGGAUACUCGAUGUGUGCAAUACACCGUACGCGUCUGAGCGAAAGCAUUAAGUAAUCCACCUGGGGAGUACGACCGCAAGGUUG